rnacentral:tRNA from 1 species
GGACUGUGGCUCAGUGGCAGAGCCCUUGCCUCUCAAGUAUGAGGCACUGGGUUCGAUCCACAGCACCA